rnacentral:rRNA from 1 species
UACGUAGGGGGCAAGCGUUGUCCGGAUUUAUUGGGCGUAAAGAGCGUGUAGGCGGCCGUACAGGUCAGCUGUGAAAACUCGAGGCUCAACCUCGAGACGUCGGUUGAAACCGUACGGCUAGAGUCCGGAAGAGGAGAGUGGAAUUCCCGGUGUGAGCGGUGAAAUGCGCAGAUAUCGGGAAGAACACCCGUGGCGAAGGCGGCUCUCUGGGACGGUACUGGACGCUGAGACGCGAAAGCGUGGGGAGCGAACGAGG